UGCGGACAGUGUCUGGUGGGUAGUUUGACUGGGGCGGUCUCCUCCUAAAGAGUAACGGAGGAGCACGAAGGUUGGCUAAUCCUGGUCGGACAUCAGGAGGUUAGUGCAAUGGCAUAAGCCAGCUUGACUGCGAGCGUGACGGCGCGAGCAGGUGCGAAAGCAGGUCAUAGUGAUCCGGUGGUUCUGAAUGGAAGGGCCAUCGCUCAACGGAUAAAAGGUACUCCGGGGAUAACAGGCUGAUACCGCCCAAGAGUUCAUAUCGACGGCGGUGUUUGGCACCUCGAUGUCGGCUCAUCACAUCCUGGGGCUGAAGUAGGUCCCAAGGGUAUGGCUGUUCGCCAUUUAAAGUGGUACGCGAGCUGGGUUUAGAACGUCGUGAGACAGUUCGGUCCCUAUCUGCCGUGGGCGCUGGAGAACUGAGGGGGGCUGCUCCUAGUACGAGAGGACCGGAGUGGACGCAUCACUGGUGUUCGGGUUGUCAUGCCAAUGGCACUGCCCGGUAGCUAAAUGCGGAAGAGAUAAGUGCUGAAAGCAUCUAAGCACGAAACUUGCCCCGAGAUGAGUUCUCCCUGAGACUUAGAGUCUCCUGAAGGAACGUUGAAGACGACGACGUUGAUAGGCCGGGUGUGUAAGCGCAGCGAUGCGUUGAGCUAACCGGUACUAAUGAACCGUGAGGCUUAACCUU
rnacentral:rRNA from 1 species